AGAGUUUGAUCCUGGCUCAGGACGAACGCUGGCGGCGUGCCUAAUACAUGCAAGUAGAACGCUGAAGAGAGGAGCUUGCUCUUCUUGGAUGAGUUGCGAACGGGUGAGUAACGCGUAGGUAACCUGCCUUGUAGCGGGGGAUAACUAUUGGAAACGAUAGCUAAUACCGCAUAACAAUGGAUGACACAUGUCAUUUAUUUGAAAGGGGCAAUUGUUCCACUACAAGAUGGACCUGCGUUGUAUUAGCUAGUAGGUGAGGUAAUGGCUCACCUAGGCGACGAUACAUAGCCGACCUGAGAGGGUGAUCGGCCACACUGGGACUGAGACACGGCCCAGACUCCUACGGGAGGCAGCAGUAGGGAAUCUUCGGCAAUGGGGGCAACCCUGACCGAGCAACGCCGCGUGAGUGAAGAAGGUUUUCGGAUCGUAAAGCUCUGUUGUAAGUCAAGAACGGGUGUGAGAGUGGAAAGUUCACACUGUGACGGUAGCUUACCAGAAAGGGACGGCUAACUACGUGCCAGCAGCCGCGGUAAUACGUAGGUCCCGAGCGUUGUCCGGAUUUAUUGGGCGUAAAGCGAGCGCAGGCGGUUUGAUAAGUCUGAAGUUAAAGGCUGUGGCUCAACCAUAGUUCGCUUUGGAAACUGUCAAACUUGAGUGCAGAAGGGGAGAGUGGAAUUCCAUGUGUAGCGGUGAAAUGCGUAGAUAUAUGGAGGAACACCGGUGGCGAAAGCGGCUCUCUGGUCUGUAACUGACGCUGAGGCUCGAAAGCGUGGGGAGCGAACAGGAUUAGAUACCCUGGUAGUCCACGCCGUAAACG
rnacentral:rRNA from 1 species